AGUGAACGCUGGCGGCAGGCCUAACACAUGCAAGUCGAACGGCAGCACAGUAAGCGCUUGCUCUUACGGUUGGCGACUGGCGGACGGGUGAGGCAUGCAUCAGCAUCUUCUUUUUCGUGGGGGACAACGUAGGGCAACUUACGCUAAUACCGCAUAUGUCCUACGGCAGAAAGCAGGAGUGCUUGACGCUUUGCCCGUUUCUUAUAGCCGAUUCCGUGUUGGAUUAGCUAGUUGGUAAGGUAACGGCACACCAAGGCAACGAUGCGUAGCUGACCUGAGAGGAUGAUCGGCCACACUGGAACUGAGACACGGUCCAGACUCCUACGGGAGGCAGCAGUAGGGAAUAUUGGGCAAUGGGCGAAAGCCUGACCGAGCCAUACCGCGUGAGUGAAGAAGGCCUUCGGGUUGUAAAGCCCUUUUGUUGGGAAAGAAAAGCUGCGGGUUAAUACCCGGCUGUUCUGACGGUACCCAAAGAAUAAGCACCGGCUAACUUCGUG
rnacentral:rRNA from 1 species